rnacentral:lncRNA from 1 species
CAGCCCAACCAUGACUCACACAUCCAAAUGAGGCUGCUGCCUUAUAAGGAGGCACUUUGAAGGCUAUUAUUCCAAGGAGCCUGCCACCUCCCGAAGCAUUUUUAGAGCUCCUGCUUUGAAUCACUACCAGUGUCAAGAUGGUGAAUCCUCACACCUCCUGGGAGCAGUUAUUUUUGGAAACAAUGAAAGUCAGGUUGGCCAAGUUUGGUUAAGUAUGGUCCUUCAGGGGGUGGGUGGGUGUGGAGAAGGAGGCAACCUGGGCAUUUCUAAUGUGUCAAGCACUUUGCAUUCACUCUUAUUUUAUUCUCAAUAACAUUUCUGUGAGGCAGGUGUUAUUAUUACCUCCAUUUUACAGACAAGGAGUCUGAGGCAUAAAGUGCACAUUCUCUAUACAGGAAUAUCAUGGCUUCCCCCCUCCCUGCCCCCAUUACUAAGCUAGCAUUAGGAGGCCAGGAAGCAGGCAGGACAGACAUACUUAAGUGACCUUUCUGCACCCAGGCAGAGAUGAGGAACAGGGGCGUCUUAUCUAAAGACAACAAAGCCAAGAACAGUGACAUUUGAACUGGUGGGGGCGGGGAAGUUAAGGGCAAUGCAGAAACCCUGGAGGAGAGGGGAAAUGGGUCCAUGCAAGCACCUGUAGGGCAUCUCUGGGAGAGAUCAGACAAGAGGGGACAGGACUGACUGGUCCAGGACUGGGGACUCAUGAGCAGGGGAAGGAUGGUCACCAGAAUUGCUAGCUCAAGGGAUUCCCUUUGUGCCUCUCUUUUUCACUUUUUAAACAUGGUGUUCAUGUUUGCUGACUGAAAGAAGGGCUCGAGUUCAUUGUGGAAAACUUGGAAAAUACAGAGGAGUAUAAAGAAGAUAAAAACGAUCUGUAGGUGACCCCUCCUCCCCAAGAUCUCAGGCUUUGGAAAGUAUCCUUGGGAACAGAGGUGGUGCUGUGCAGAGGCGAGCCUUCAGGGUUUCAAGUGCUUGGACCUCGCCCAGCUCUGGGUAAGUGGCCUGCAUAGCUGUGCUGGGGCAUCACCAGCAGCCAAAGAGGGAGGGGCUGUGGGGCUGGAGAGGCUCUUGCUUCCAACAUCCGCUCACCCUGAGAUUUCCUUUCUCUGCCUGUUCCUUUCCUUUUGCCUGGGCUCAGCCGGGUGCCGGGAAUUGAGAUGGUGUCAGGUGACAAGAGGCCACGUUCCCCGCAGCUGGCCUCCUCCUCAGGCUGUGAUGAAGGGGUCAGAAUACCUGCAACGGCCACACAACCACGAUGACCGCAGACUCCCCAGCAACCACAAUUGCAGCCACCACACCGUAGGGCCGUAUGACCAACAUCAGCAAUCGCUACGGUAA